GAGGUAGCUCAGUCGGUAGAGCAAGUGGCUGUUAACCACUGGGUCGCAGGUUCGAAUCCUGUCCUC
rnacentral:tRNA from 1 species